rnacentral:rRNA from 1 species
UACGUAGGGUGCGAGCGUUAAUCGGAAUUACUGGGCGUAAAGCGUGCGCAGGCGGUUCGUUAAGACAGAUGUGAAAUCCCCGGGCUUAACCUGGGAACUGCAUUUGUGACUGGCGAGCUAGAGUAUGGCAGAGGGGGUAGAAUUCCACGUGUAGCAGUGAAAUGCGUAGAGAUGUGGAGGAAUACCGAUGGCGAAGGCAGCCCCCUGGGCCAAUACUGACGCUCAUGCA